CGUCAUUCACCUCACAUUGCGCGCGCACACACACGCGAUCAUCCCGUCCCUCACGUCUUGUUGCCCACUCCUCCAUUCAUCACUCUUCACACACAUUCUAUAUAUAUAUUGGGCGUACACAUUAGAUUAGGGACAGAGAUGAUUGUGAAUAGAAAAGGAGGGACGACUUAGAAGGCUAACAACCCUAGAGGUUUAGGUCCGGCGCAGCAACUCGUAAGAAAGAAAACGAAGCUGAAAAACGGUCCAUAACCACCUAAAAGCGACCUGAAAACAGGCUGAAACUCCAUGAAAACGCAGCCAUGAAUACCUUCCAUUAAUCAUCUCGAACUCAGCUCUAAAACACCUCUAAAUCAUCCCAAAACAGCCAUGAAAACUAGCUAAAAGCUCCAACGAAACAACCCUUCUUCUUUGACAUAAAGCAACAACAUUAAAGGGGAAGCGAGUGGUUGAAUUGAAGUUGUUGUCCGGCGAGUCCGUUCGAGGUUAUCCAUUCCGUUCAAGGCUCCUGCAAGGUCACUGUUUAAAGCAUCAAGGACAAUGACAGAGUUUUGGAAGCUCCAAUAAGGCCAUUUACAAGAUCUCAAGCUAAAGAAUUGCAGAUAAAGGUUGCUGGACUUCAAUGGAAAAUAAAAAAGCUUUUAAUCGUAGAGGAAGAGCUCAAGAUCAAAGGAGAUGAAUUGUCCAAGUUUUACAAUUAUUUGGUGUCCCAAAUUGAAGUCCAAGAGGAGGAAGAUUGGGUCCCAACAUGAGCUCUUGAAGUCCACCAAAAGGGCACCCCAGAAGAGCUUAAAAGAGGUCCAAAAGGGGAAGUUUCAAAAGGAGCCCAAUUGGAGUCCAAACCAAUGGCCCAAACUAGUAGUUUUAAGGCCCAAAUCCGCCCCUAAGGGAUUUGGCCGCCCACCCUCUUAUUUUUAUUAGCUUUUAUUAGGUUUUCUAGUAUUUAGCUUAGCCUCCAAGUUAGGGUUUGUUUUGGCCAGCCACCCUACCUAGUUUUAAGGAUUCUUUUACUCCUAUAAAUAGGAGUUCUUUUCAUUCAUUAUGGUACUUCAUUAUUAAUUAAUAAUAUUAUACUUUGAGAGUUCUUUG